GGGACUUCUGGCGGCGCCCUCAUGGUUGCGUUAGCAUGGCUACCUAGGGAUCUGUUCACUGAUUUAGAGGGUCCCAGAGCUCUGGGUCGGGACUGAGGUGAAAGAGCGGAAAAACGCGAGAAGCGGUGUUCCUUCUACACAGAGGCUAGAGUGCGGAUCGGCUGAGUCGGCUGCAGGCGCCCCUGCCUCCGUCAGCGUCCAGGUGACCGCCGUUCCCGCCCCGCUCUUCCCUGGGUGGACUGGAGGAGGCCGCGCCGAUGAACCUGACCGAGGCCGAAAGAAUGAGGGUCGUGAUCAACUCAGUAUGCCACUGGAGGCUAUAUGAGUAAACAGCAAACUGUUUCUCAUGAAAGCAGGAUGUUGGCAAACUGACAAACUGCGUCUGCCACCCAGAAGGAAUGCUGAAGGCAGUCACGACCCAGGCACAAGUGUUUCUUGUGAUUAGGCAUAAUUGAAGCCUGUUAACAAUAAUGUGAACUUGUGAUCAAUUAAGCAGCUGACCAGUCGUUACCUCCUCCUCCCUUUCAUCCUACCCAAUAAAUGUGGAGGGCUGUGGAAGCUCAGGGGCUGCCUUUGCUCACUAGAAGCAGGGAGCUCUCUUCUUCCCCAGUUCGCCUUCUUUAAAACAGUUUCUUUCGUCUUAAGUUUUCAUUUCUACGUUCGUCCCCCUUCAUUCAGUCUCGUAAUGAUGGUCUCAAGUAGUAA
rnacentral:lncRNA from 10 species